rnacentral:lncRNA from 1 species
GAGCUUCAAAACAAAAAGAGUUAGUGACAUAUUUUUAUGAUUUUGGUUAGUAAUCAAAUAAGAAAAGCAAUAAUGUACAAUACAAGCAUUCUUGGUGAUCUCAAACCACUCAAAUAAGUCCAAACGUUAGGGUUAAGGAGCCAAACAUGCUAUGAUCCUUGAGGCAAUGCACUUGUGCAAUAACAUGAUGCCAUUAGGGAUCUUGGGGUCAAAAUUAGGGUCUUAAACUUCCCUUUCCGACCACCCUCCCCAAAAUCCA